rnacentral:rRNA from 1 species
UCGACGGCAGCACGGGAGCAAUCCUGGUGGCGAGUGGCGAACGGGUGAGUAAUGUAUCGGAACGUACCUUUCAGUGGGGGAUAACGUAGCGAAAGUUACGCUAAUACCGCAUAUUCUGUGAGCAGGAAAGCAGGGGAUCGCAAGACCUUGCGCUGAUUGAGCGGCCGAUAUCAGGUUAGCUAGUUGGUGAGGUAAAGGCUCACCAAGGCGACGAUCUGUAGCGGGUCUGAGAGGAUGAUCCGCCACACUGGAACUGAGACACGGUCCAGACUCCUACGGGAGGCAGCAGUGGGGAAUUUUGGACAAUGGGGGCAACCCUGAUCCAGCCAUGCCGCGUGAGUGAAGAAGGCCUUCGGGUUGUAAAGCUCUUUCAGCCGGGAAGAAAUCACAUGGGUUAAUACCCUGUGUGGAUGACGGUACCGGAAUAAGAAGCACCGGCUAACUACGUGCCAGCAGCCGCGGUAAUACGUAGGGUGCGAGCGUUAAUCGGAAUUACUGGGCGUAAAGCGUGCGCAGGCGGUUUGUUAAGAUAGGCGUGAAAUCCCCGGGCUCAACCUGGGAACUGCGUUUAUGACUGGCAGGCUAGAGUAUGGCAGAGGGGGGUGGGAUUCCACGUGUAGCAGUGAAAUGCGUAGAGAUGUGGAGGAACACCGAUGGCGAAGGCAGCCCCCUGGGCCAAUACUGACGCUCAUGCACGAAAGCGUGGGUAGCAAACAGGAUUAGAUACCCUGGUAGUCCACGCCCUAAACGAUGUCAACUA